GACGUAGGAGGCGAGCGUUGUCCGGAUUUACUGGGCGUAAAGGGCGCGUAGGCGGCCAGCACAAGUCAGUUGUGAAAUCUCCGGGCUUAACUCGGAAAGGUCAACUGAUACUGUGCGGCUAGAGUGCAGAAGGGGCAACUGGAAUUCUCGGUGUAGCGGUGAAAUGCGUAGAUAUCGGGAGGAACACCAGUGGCGAAGGCGACUACCUGGCCUGUUUCUUGACGCUGAGGCGCGAAAGCUAGGGGAGCAAACGGG
rnacentral:rRNA from 1 species